UGGGGUGUAGCAAAGUGGUAGAGCAUUUGCCUAUCAUGCAUAAGGACCUGAGUUCAAUAUUCAGCACUACAA
rnacentral:tRNA from 1 species